rnacentral:lncRNA from 1 species
ACUUGGCCAUGAAGGUCUUUGAAGGUGGGGAAGGGGUGAAGAUGGUGAGGGGAUUCCAUGGCUGGGAGAGGUACACUCCCUACACGUUCUAACCAACUGGCCGUGGGGAGGAAGCUGGAGGUCAGGACACAGCCAAAUGGGGGAUCUCAGAAGUCUUAAUGAAGUAACUAUCCCUGAACACUGGGAUCAAUACUCAGCAUCCAGCUGUCAAAUCAACACCAAGGUCUAUACCUAACUGGAGACACUGAGAAGAAGAAUCAGGGAUGAAUGCAAGAAG